rnacentral:rRNA from 1 species
GUGAGGAAUAUUGGUCAAUGGGCGGGAGCCUGAACCAGCCAAGUCGCGUGAAGGAAGAAGGAUCUAUGGUUCGUAAACUUCUUUUGCAGGGGAAUAAAGUGCAGGACGUGUCCUGUUUUGUAUGUACCCUGAGAAUAAGGAUCGGCUAACUCCGUGCCAGCAGCCGCGGUAAUACGGAGGAUCCGAGCGUUAUCCGGAUUUAUUGGGUUUAAAGGGUGCGUAGGUGGUUUGAUAAGUCAGCGGUGAAAGUUUGCAGCUUAACUGUAAAAAUGCCGUUGAAACUGUCGGACUUGAGUGUAAAUGAGGUAGGCGGAAUGCGUGGUGUAGCGGUGAAAUGCAUAGAUAUCACGCAGAACUCCGAUUGCGAAGGCAGCUUACUAAGCUACAACUGACACUGAAGCACGAAAGCGUGGGGAUCAAACAGAAUUAGAAACCCCAGUAGUCC